rnacentral:misc_RNA from 1 species
GAUGAAGAACGUAGCGAAAUGCGAUAAGUAAUGUGAAUUGCAGAAUUCAGUGAAUCAUCGAAUCUUUGAACGCACAUUGCGCCCUCUGGUAUUCCGGGGGGCAUGCCUGUUCGAGCGUCAUUACAACCCUCAAGCUUUGCUUGGUAUUGGACAUUGCCAGUUUCUGGCAGGUCUUAAAAUCAGUGGCGGUGCCAUUUGGCUUCAAGCGUAGUAAUUCUUCUCGCUUUGGAGAUCCAGGUGGUUACUUGCCAAUAACCCCCAAUUUUUUCAGGUUGACCUCGGAUCAGGUAGGGAUACCCGCUGAACUUAAGCAUAUCAAUAAGCGGGGA